AAACGGUACACAGCACGCACGCGGCCACUCGUACCGAUAUUUGUCCGUACGUUUUUGUCCGCGGGGAAGGUAAUUAAUAAUAAUAAUAAUAAUAAUAAUACCGUGUACGCCUACACGUUUAUAUGCGCGUCAAUAUCGCCGGCGCGGACGCGACACAAUAAUUGUCCACGGACACGAAUGCGCCGAUAAAUGUACGCGAGUA